UAACUGCAAUUUUCUGCGCAACACGUGCUUCUUCCUCCCGGGGUCGAGCCACCGCGCAAGCAAACGUCACCGGGACGCGCCCUGAUUGGCCUGCCAAGUGACGGCCCCCGGGUGCCGUCUCCUUCCGAGCUCUCUCCCGAUGAGCGCUUCAGCGCCCCGACAGAACUGAUAGGCCCGCAACGAGCUGAGGGUGGCGAGGCCAUCCGGUCCUUGGUGGUCACCCCGUGCAGCAGCGACCCGUGCGUCGUUCCGGUUGGCUCCGGCAUCAACAUCUCCUUCGAACUGCUCUCGAACCAAGACAGCAUCAACUUGCGCUUGGAUCCCCGUGUACAGCUGCUUGGCAUGGAGCUGCCCAUCUUAGGUGUCGAGAGGGAUGCCUGCAAGCUCACGACUACUGCAUGCCCAGUCUCCGAGGGCCAGCUCAUCCAAGGCACAGUUCCAGUGCACGUGAACAGCUUUGUGCCACCGGUCUCGGCAGUGACAAUUUGGCGGGUGCAUGGUGACAAGGGCCUCAUGGCAUGCGGCACUACCACCGUGACUGUCUCCAGAACUUGACUCUCUCGUGGUGCAUAUUUGACUGUGCACGGACACACGAGAUAAUGCCAUGCGCUGGAUAGUAUUUUUUAAGUGAAGGUGUAUAUAAUAAGGUUGUACAGUAAAGGUAAUUAUUCAUCUACAAGGGUGCAUUUGUAGGCCAGAACUACUGCUUGAUGAAUUCCAUGAGUUAACGCCAGUGUGCGUACUUGCAGAAGCACGGAAUGGGCACUGUGAGACACCAAGAGAUUUAUGAAUCUUUCCUGAAGCAAUUGCCCAGGAAGCAGCAAGAGAGCAGAAGAGAGUUUCCAAGCCAUGCCUGCAACCACACAUGCCUAGAUUUGUCUUGUAAUGUGCAUCCGAAAAUAACUUGCGCUUCAUCAUGGAAACAUGCACGCAAUGUUUAGAUGAAACAUGUCUGAGCUGCUUGACACUGCAUUAGAGGGACUCUAAGGAGAAGCAUUAGAUCAGUUUGAACUAAUAAAACUAGUCUUCCAAACUUUAAUUUUCAUUAAUAUUGCUGUAAGAGGUUGAUUAUUGGAUGAGGAAAUGGAGGUCAAAGGUCCAUUUCUUAAAUUUCAUGGCAGAAUGCUAGCGCCGUAAUGUCAAUGUGACGUGAUGGAUUUCAAAGUAUUUUUGUUGUAUUUGGGUGUUUAUGGUGCACUGAAAUUUCUCGAAGCUUGCUAGAGUCACUCUUGCUCCUUUAAAGCAUAAUGUAGUCCAUCUUUACCGAUAAAAAAUUAACUAGGCCCACGGAGAUCCUAUAAAAAUCCACAACGACAUGGCAAACUAGUGUGCGAACUUCGAAGUGGUGUUGCUACUAGCCUUUGACUUACUGUGUAUUUCCUGCCUUACCAAGGCCCCCCUAGUGGUAAUAGUGGCUUUUAUAUUUUGGCAUUGUAGAAGUGCCGUUUACAAAUAGAGCUCAAGUUAUUUUUAUCUUUAAUGUCCACUUAACAAUGAUGGAACAGUCAAGUGGCUUCUCUUAGCAGCUCUUGCAACACAAGAAAUGCCCUUUUAUAACGGACGUUUCGGCUUCUGUAGCACUCAAUUUCGCAUGAGUAAAUUACACACACAAAAAAAACAAUACUAUAACACAAGCUCUGGGACUGUUAAAUUAUUUUACAAAGCCAUCGAGACAUAAAAAUAGCACAAUCUUGCAUAUAGAAGGAAUUAUCAAAUUUUAUUUAUAAC
rnacentral:misc_RNA from 1 species